UACGUAGGGGGGCGAGCGUUGUCCCGGAUUUAUUGGGCGUAAAGCGCGCUAAGGCGGCUGGGCAAGUCGUGUGUGAAAGCUCCAGGCUCAACUUGGAGAGGCCACGCGAUACUGCUCUGGCUAGAGUUCGGUAGGGGAAGGUGGAAUACCUGGUGUAGCGGUGAAAUGCGCAGAUAUCAGGUGGAACACCAGUGGCGAAGGCGGCCUUCUGGGCCGGUACUGACGCUGAGGAGCGAAAGCGUGGGGAGCGAACAGG
rnacentral:rRNA from 1 species